UGGGGAAUAUUGCACAAUGGGCGCAAGCCUGAUGCAGCCAUGCCGCGUGUAUGAAGAAGGCCUUCGGGUUGUAAAGUAUUUUCAGUCGGGAGGAAGGUGGUAAGGUUAAUAACCUUAUCAAUUGACGUUACCGACAGAAGAAGCACCGGCUAACUCCGUGCCAGCAGCCGCGGUAAUACGGAGGGUGCAAGCGUUAAUCGGAAUUACUGGGCGUAAAGCGCACGCAGGCGGUUUGUUAAGUCAGAUGUGAAAUCCUCGGGCUCAACCUGGGAACUGCAUCUGAUACUGGCAAGCUUGAGUCUCGUAGAGGGGGGUAGAAUUCCAGGGGUAGCGGUGAAAUGCGUAGAGAUCUGGAGGAAUACCGGUGGCGAAGGCGGCCCCCUGGACGAAGACUGACGCUCAGGUGCGGAAGCGUGGGGAGCAAACAGG
rnacentral:rRNA from 1 species